GCAUUAAUGGGGUAGUGGUAACCUGGGUCGUUGCCAUAGCUCAGCUGUAGAAAAUUUCUCGACCCGCCGGGGGUUCGAUUCCCCCUUAAUGCA